rnacentral:sRNA from 1 species
CUUCCUUGAUCUGCGGACAGAUCAGGUGCACGUGACAGUCGAUGCCACCGGCGGUCACGAUUCGGCCGUUGCCGGAGAUGAUCUCGGUCGACGGCCCAACCACCAAGUCGGGAUGUACCCCGGACAUGACGUCGGGAUUGCCGGCCUUGCCGAUCGCGGUGAUCCGGCCGUCACGAAUUCCGAUAUCCGCCUUGAUGAUCCCCCAGUGGUCGAUGAUCACCGCACCGGUGAUCACCGUGUCCGGUGCGCCGUCGGCCCGCGUCACCCGACCCUGCCCCAUCGACUCACGCAA